CUGCAGCCCGAGUGGUGAUCGAUUUUAUUGAGCCUAAAGCGUCCGUAGCCGGACUAGUAAACCCUUGGGUAAAUUGGGCAGCUUAACUGUCCAAAUUCCGAGGGGACUGCUAGUCUUGGGACCGGGAGAGGUCAGAGGUACUCAAGGGGUAGGGACUAAAUCCUGUAAUCCUUUGGGGACCACCAGUGGCGAAGGCGUCUGACUAGAACGGAUCCGACGGUAAGGGACGAAACCCUGGGGCGCGAACCGGAUUAGAUACCCGAGUAGUCC
rnacentral:rRNA from 1 species